rnacentral:rRNA from 1 species
CCAAUAGCGUAUAUUAAAGUUGUUGCAGUUAAAAAGCUCGUAGUUGAAUUUCGAGACCGGUUUACUGGUCGUGCUUUUGUACGUACUGGUAUAAUCGGUUUCUCUUUUCUGACGAACUAUAAUGCUAUUAAUUUGGUGUUAUGGGAAAUCAGGACUGUUACUUUGAAAAAAUUAGAGUGUUUAAAGCAGGCUCACGCUUG